CGCUGUGGAUUUCCUCGACAACCGGCUCGACGUCGGUACAGGUACAUUGCGCGGCCGGGGUCUGGUCAAGAAUCAGGAUCUGUCGAUCCUUCCCGGCCAGUUCGCGCGUGUUCGGGUGCUGGGCAGCUCCCCUUAUGAAGCGUUGCUGUUGCCUGACACCGCUAUCGCAACGGACCAGUCGCGCAAGAUCGUCUUUGUCGUCAACGCCGAUAAUACAGUUGAGGCGAAACCAGUGGUCCUCGGUCCCCUCGACGAUGGUCUGAGGG
rnacentral:misc_RNA from 1 species